rnacentral:lncRNA from 1 species
UCAACUCUGUCUAGAACUCUUCUAGAGUUCAAAUACUUAAGUCUUGACGAAGUUUGGUCAGCUAGAACUCCUUGACGUGAUUGCUUACGGGAAACUAAAUAGAUACAAUGGUCAGCAAACAACAUUUGUUGACCUACUUAAAUCUUUUGGUCUACAUAUUGUUGUCCUCAGGAGUUAUUUUGUACAACAAGGUAUGUAUUGUAUAAUACAUGAUGAAU